rnacentral:lncRNA from 1 species
GUCAUCAGUGUUUUUCUUUCUUUUGAGAAAAUUGAAUAUCAAAAUUUUUGAUUUGGGAUAUGGAAGUAGAUGAAAUAGAACUGGAAAGAAAGAGAAUAUCAAUGAAAUAGAAAAACCCUUAUAGGUUGUUGAAUUUUUCAGGGGAUAUGAAACUGGAUAGCAAUCGAAUAUACUAACAUUAAUAGGUUAGAGGGAAAAUAAUGAAAUUGGGAAAUCUUUUUCAUUUCUUGACUUUUUUGACUUUUUUGAGAUAUGGAGGAAGAGAAAAUUGGAAAUUAAAAGGAAAAGAGGAAGAGGAUGAGAUCUGAAAAUUGAGAAAAGGGAGAAGAUGAGAUCUUAAAUUGAAGAAAAAGGGAGAAGAUGAGAUCUGAAAUUGAGAAAAACGGAGAAAGAUAAGGUCUGAAAUUGAGAAGAAAAAAAGAAGAUGAGGUCUGAAAUUGAGAAAAAAAGGAAGAAGAUGAGAUCUGAAAUUACGAAAAGAAAAAACUAAGGGAAAGAGAGAGAUAGGGAAGAUGGGUUACAAUGAAAUUUGUUUUAUAGCCUAGAUCAAGUUAUAAAGGAAAUGAGUUAAACGAUGUGGGACUUAAUAUGACGACACGUAGUAAAUUUGGUAUAUUUUUUUUUUAAAAUGGCUAAUAAAAUAUGACGUGUUGUUAGAUAUGACCUUCUAUACCCAAUUAAACCGUGGCAUGAAUAAGCCAUAGUAAUAACGAUCAUAGCAAAAGUGGUACCUAAUUUAUCUUCUAUAAAGACAUCAACAACAAUUAAAUGAGAAAUUGCCAAGAGAAAUAUAUUCCUAAAAAGGAAAAAUAACUACAAUAAAAUAGUGUGCUAAUCAAAAGUACAAAAGACAAGUAGAAAGUAAAUAAAGUCGAAGGACAAGAAACUAUAGGAGAAAUAUCAAGGCUACCGCUAGGGGUGUUCACGGGUUGGUUUGGGUAGGUUAUUGGUCAAAACUAAAAUCAAAUCAAUUUAAUUAGUUUUGAAAUUAUCAAAACCAAACCAAAUAUAAUAUACAUUUAUCGGUUUGGUUGUUUUCGGUUUUGGUUUGGUUUGGUUUGGUUCGGUUAUUUCGUUAUUAACCAUACAAGAAAAUAAAAGAAACAAUUCAUUCAAAACGUGAAAAAAUUGACAACAAUCCAUUCAAACGAAAAAAUAGUUAGAAUGACCGGCAUUACAGAACUUUGGAUCAUUAAAUUUACUGAAUAAAACUUCAAAAUUCACUAUUUUGGCAUAGAAGGAAGAGAUAAUGAUAUUUUCAGUCCUACAAUGAAUUUCCAUAGAUACUCAUAUACAUGAAACCAAUAAGAAAAAGGUUCUCACCUUGGACAUUUUUUCUUUCAUAAGUAAAUUAUAAAUAAAUUUUGAUGAAACAUAUAUAAAAUCUUUAAAAUUGUUUAUGAAUAUAAUAUAUUAUGUAUGCAUAAUAAUAAAAUUUAUGUAUAUAACUUGUUGGUUCGGUUCGGUUAUUUCUUCAAAUUUUUUCGAACAAAACCAUAACCAAACCAAAUACUAUCGGUUCUUAACAAUCUAAAACCAAACCAAACCAAAACCCAAAUUAAAUCGGUUCAUUUAAUCGGUUUGAUUUGAUUUUUCGAUUUGAAUCGGUUUUAAUCCAAACCAUGAACACCCCUAAUUAUUUCCAUUAAGUUUUUCACUUUAUUUAAGUCAGUAAUAAUACUUUUGAUACCAUGUUUGUUAUUGACAUAUCUUUAGGCAAGAAUUUUAACAAUUAUGCAUGUGACAUACACAUUCAAGCAAAUCAAUAACCUUCUAUCUAAGGUCAUGUCCUUGGUAUAUUUAUAAGGCAUAUUUUCGCAUUUAUGAGCCAACUUUUAGAAUUUACGCAACUUUCUUGGUUUUUCGUAUGUAUUAACCUAUAGUCCCGUGAUUUUUAAGGCAUAUGCUUGAACCAUCACAGUCUAGCUUCCUGCAUCGUGUCCUUUAUUAAGACCACUCCUAUCUUAUUUCGGAUAUCUUCAUUCUUAAUCGAAUCUCUCAUAGUAUUCCGACAUAUUCACCACAACAUUCUCAUUUUCUCAAUUUUAAUAUUGUGAACGUAAGAGUUCUUGACUAGCCAACACUCCGCCCAAUACUCUAACCACCACUCUGCAGAACUUGUCUUUGAGUUUUGAUGGCAUCUUCUCAUCACACAAUACUUCAGAUACGAACCUACAUUUAAUCCACUCUGCAUCAAUACGAUGUGUGACAUUAUCAUCACUUUGUCCAUUCCUUGAAUAAUAGACCCAAGAUACUUGAUCUUCCUUUCUUUUGAAUGACAUGUGCAUCAAACUUCACUUCUACUCCACCCUUAUAUUAACAUACCAAUAAAUUAAAGCACUUCAAUUUAAAAUCUUAAGGUAAAAGUGUUUACAAACUCAUAAAUCCUAAUAGUAAAUUAUCACAAGUGAAAGAAUGUUGUAAAAGAAAAACCUUAAACUCUCUAACACAAUUAAAUAUGUAUAAACCCCUUUAAAAUGUUAAAGUAGCCUUGAAUUGUUAAUUGGCUAAUUGCCAUUUAGUAAGUCAUAUAGUUCAUCCAUCUAAUAAGUCAUUUAUAUAAUGCAUAAUCUUGACUUGAAAAGGAAAAAAUAAAGAGGGUACCAAAAGGUUCAUCUUUAUUGCUAAAAACUAUGUUUUUCCCUAUGGCCUAGACACAAUUGCAAAAAGAAAAACCAAUACUCUAGUGAAUUAGCUUCAACUACCCUGCACAGACUUCAUAUCAUACCCUUAAAGUUUCUUAACAUAAAUCUAUGGCAAAUUUAAUGAUCAGAAAGUAACAUGGCAUUGCCCUCCAACACAAGUGCAUUCAUAUCUUAAUCUCUUUACCAAAAAUCCAGCUGACAGGAACGGGACUUCGCUGCUUGGCCCUUGCCUGUGCUCUCUCCUCCAAUUUUCUAAUCCUCGGAGCCAGUCCACAUACAUAAUCUUGUGCUCUGCGUCCUUCACCAGAAAGAUGCAGUAUAAAAAGAAGUCCACUAGCACCGGAAUCUUCCUCAAAAAGAGGCAGCAAGAGUUGUAUGAGUACAAAAUCAUGCGUACUCCAUAGGCAUCAUAGGCCUACCAACCAGAGUUAGUAACAAUAAUGUACAGAGGAUGUUAUUAACUGUGCACUCAGAAAAUGUCCCUGCAGUUCAGUAUAAGAUAGUCAAUAAGAAGCAACGCAAAGCAAAACAAUAAUAAAAAUGCAACGCAAUAUGAUGCAAUGCUAAUGACCCUACUAAUCCUCCAAUUUUCUAAUCCGCGGAGCCAGUCCACACACAUAAUCUUGUGCUCUGCGUCCUUCACCAGAAAGAUGCAGUAUAAAAAGAAGUCCACUAGCACCGGAAUCUUCCUCAAAAAGAGGCAGCAAGAGUUGUAUGAGUACAAAAUCAUGCGUACUCCAUAGGCAUCAUAGGCCUACCAACCAGAGUUAAUAACUAUAACGUACAGAGGAUGUUAUAAACUGUGCACUUAGAAAAUGUCCCUGCAGUUCAGUAUAAGAUAGUCAAUAAGAAGCAACGCAAAGCAAAACAAUAAUAAAAAUGCAACGCAAUAUGAUGCAAUGCUAAUGACCCUACUAACAUACACUCCACAGGAAAUGUUGUCAGGUGGGACCCAUGAGGGACUUGUGAGGUCCAUAUACCCUACCUGGACUCGAACCAAGACUUUCGUCAAUAUAGUCUGUCCGAUUCAAUAAAUUUACUUUCAAGUCAAGCCCUUAGACCACAUUUCACCACUAUAAGCAUAUUGCUUUCAAUAUAAUGUCAAUCUUGACAAAUUAACCCCUCAUAUGUGAUAAAAUACCCGAAAUUGAGUAAAACUUGGCAAUGAUGUAAUUUCAAGUCAUCACCCGAGUUAAGUAUGAGAAAAGUAAGCAAUAACCUACCUUGAAAGUCGAGUAACGUGCCACACAUAAAUGCACAGACAUAUAUUUAAAGUACUUCUUUUAGUAGCAUCACGGCUCAAUUAUAAGGGAGUAAUUUUAUCCUUGAUAGCAACGCAGGAACUCUUCAUAACUGUUAGGGUACCGAAUCCCAUCAGCUAAAAAUCCUUAUUGUUAUUGUCACCACUCAAUGAUGGUCCCUCCCCCCUACUUAAUUUCACUUCUGGAGGAUCAAUACUGGUGGUGAUGAGGUGAAAGUAGAGAUUAAAAAUGUUUAGGAGGAAAUGAAGAAUAUAUCAGAAAAUAAUUCUGUUGGAAAGUUUGAGGAAAUCACGUCGUUAGACGUAAAGGACUAUGAAGACCUGGGGUUGAUAAUAGAACUAGAGGAAUUAGGAGAAAGUAGUUUUGAAAAUUCUAGCAUAUAUUUUAAUGUACCAUAUAAGGUGUACAACACUAGCUUUUUCAAAAUUACUUAUCCCUAAUUCCUCCAAUUCUACAAUCAAUCCCAACUCCUCAUAGUCUUUCACGUCUAACGACGUGAUUUCUUCCAGCUUUUCAAUAGAACUAUUUUUUGAUAUAUCUUCACUUCCUCCUCAACAUUUUUAAUCUCUACUCUCACCUCAUCACCACCGGUAUUGAUCCUCCAGAAGUGAAAUUAAGUGGGGGCAGGGGGGAACCAUCAUUGAGUGGUGACAAUAACAAUAGGGAUUUUGAGAUGAUUGAAUGGAUUUGGUACCCUAACAGUUACGGAGAGUUGUUGCGGAUCAUCAGUGUUUUUCUUUCUUUUGAGAAAAUUGAAUAUCAAAUAUUUUGAAUUGGGAUAUGGAAGUCGAUGAAAUUGAAUUGGAAAGAAAGAGAAUAUCAAUGAAAUAGAAAAACCCUUAUAGGUUCUUGAAUUUUUCAGGGGAUAUGAAACUAGAAAUCAAUCGAAUAUACUAACGUUAAUAGUUUAAAGGGGAAAGAAUGAAAUUGGAAAAUCCUUUUCAAUUUGAGAUAUGGAGGUAGAGAAACUUGAAAGAAAAUGAAUUGGAAAUUAAAAGGAAAAGAGGAUGAGAUCUGAAAUUGAGAAAAAGGGAAGAAGAUGAGAUCUGAAAUUGAGAAAAAAGGAAGAAGAUGAGAUCUGAAAUGGAGAAAAAAAGAAGAAGAUUAGAUCUGAAAUCGGGAAAAGAAAAAAUUAAGGGAAAGAGAGAGAAAGGGAAGAUGGGCUAAAAUAAAAUUUGUGUUAUAGCAUAGAUCAAGUUAUAAAGGAAAUGAGUUAAACGGUGGGGGAUUUAAUUUGACGACACGUCGUAAAUUUGGUAUUUAAAAUUUUUAAAAAAUUGGCUAAUAAAAUAUGACGUGUUGUUAGAUAUGACAUUCUAUACCCAAUUAACCCGUGGCAUGAAUAAGCCAUAGUCAUAACGAUCAUAGCAAAAGUGGUACCUAAUUUAUCUGCUAUAAAGACAUCAACAACAAAUAAAUGAGAAACUGCCAAGAAAAAUAUAUUCCUAAAAAGGAAAAAUAACUACAAUAAAAUAGUGUGCUAAUCAAAGUACAAGAGAUAAAUAGAUAGUAAAAAACUCAAAGUUUUAAGAACUAUAGGAGAAAUACUAGGGCUACCGCUAUGGAAGGAUAUGCAAGAGAAUAUUCUACUACCUAUUAACCUUCUAACCUAAUUCUUGUCUUCCACAACUUUCUAUCUAAGGUUAUGUCUUUGGUAAGCUACGACUGCAUCAUGUUCUAUCUAAUCACCUCUCCCCAAUACUUCUUCAGUCUACCUCUAUCUAUCCUGAAACCAUUCAUAACCCCUCACACUUUUACAUGGGCAUCUGUGCAUUUCCUCUUCAUAUGCUUAAACCAUCACAGUCUCGCUUUAUGCAUCGUGUCCUCUAUUGAGAUCACUUGUACCUUAUUUCAGACAUUCUUAAUCUAAUCUCUCAUAGUAUGCCGACAUAUCCACCAAAACAUUCUCAUUUCUGCAACUUUAAUCUUGUGAACGUAAGAGUUCUUGACUAGCCAACACUCCUAGCCAUACUCUAACCACCACUCUGCAAUACUUGCCUUUGAGUUUUGAUGACAUCUUCUUAUCACACAAUACUCCAGAUGCGAGCCUACAUUUUAUCCACUCUGCACCAAUACAAUGUGUGACAUUAUCAUCACUUUGUCCAUUCCUUGGAUAAUAGACCCAAGAUACUUGAAUCUUCCUUUCUUUUGAAUGACAUGUGCAUCAAGCCUCACUUCUACUCCACCCUUAUAUUAACAUACCAAUAAAUUGAAGCACUUCAAUUUAAAAUCUUAAGGUAAUUAGUGCAGAUUUUAGAGUGUUUACACACUCACAAAUCCUAAUCGUAACUUAUCACAAGUGAAAGAAUGUUGUAAAAGAAAAACCCUCAACUCUCUGACACAAUUAAAUAUGUAUAAACCCCUUUAAAAUGUUCCCGACUUGAUGUGAUACAGUAAAUCUUUAUAAUAAUACAACAAAUUUUGUGUCAAGUUGAUUUGGAGCACAUUCCACUUGGGAAAAAGGUAAAAGUUGAAAAUGCAAUAUUUUGCUAAGUACUAUCUUCUAUUUUACUCUAUGGUUUGAUUUGGAAUACAUUUCAGAGGUGAAAAAGGUAAACAUCUAAUCAAGGAAAAUGCUAUAGUAGCCGUGAAUUGUUAAUUGCCAUUUAGUAUUUCCAAACCAACAAACAAAGCAUUUGGCUUGUGUAAAUGCUUUUUGUUCCCCUGGAACUCCACUGUUUUAGAAUUUUUUUAUAAAUAAAUCAAUGUGCUUCCAUCAGGUCAAUUGAUUUUAUAGUUCUUCAAAUACAAAAUAGAUGAUAACUUUUCUGAACUGCUUUUUUGUUUUGUACUUACACCUUGAAUUUUGUUUUCCUGGAGUCGAAGAAAUCCUAAACUUUCUUCUUCUUUAUUCAAAUUGUAAAUGACUUUGUGACCCUUUCCUAUUUCCAAAUAGCGCUGGCCUAAGUGCAAAUAUAGUAGGAUAAUUUAUGUAUAAUAGACCCUUCUGACCCUUCCCCAGACCUCACGCAUAGCGAGAGCUUAGUGCACCGGCUGUCCUUCUUAAAGAGUUUAUAUCCUAGAUGCACCCAUUUAAUAAGUCAUAUAUAAAAUGCAUUAUCUUUACUUUAAAGGGAGAUUAAAAAAAAGAAGGUACCAAAAGCUUCAUCUUUAUUGCUAGUAAAUAUGUUUUUCCCUAUGGCCUAAACACAAUUUGCUGGAACAAAGCUAACUUAGUAAGGGCCUAUGAGUUAGAAGUGGUGAAAAAGAUUGGGCUGAGUAAAAUGUUGGAGCAUUUUAUUUGGGAAUCAGACCCAAUUAGCAUCUGGUUAAAAGGGAGAAGUGGUCUGAAAGAAGGGGUUAUGCUUGUUAUGAAGAAAAUCUUUGUUCCUCUAAUCUUCUUCUAGAUCUAAGUUUCUCAUCCUCAUUCUUAUAUAUUUCCUUAGUUACUUGUUAUUUCAAAUUUUCUAUUGUAAGUCAAUAGUUUAAGUGUUGCCGUUGUAAUUUGGCUAUCAGUGAUUAUAUAAUACUUGAGUAUUUGUGUUGAGAUUUCAGGUUUGUUACAUUGGUGCUUUCAUCCAUCGGUCUCCAACAAUGGCGAUGUUUCUACCUUGAUUCAGCGGCGACGGCAUCCCAGAGAGCUGGAUUUUCAGGCCCAGUUGUACUUCACAAAUCUUGGCUUUGACGAGGAUGAUUAUUUUCCCCUUCCUUCAUUCUACCUUUAUGGUGAAGCUUAUUUCACAAUAAGCUAAUUUUUGAUUGGAAGCAUUUCAAGGGUAAAUUUGCUCAGUGGUUUCAAUAACAAACCAACAACAAUGUAGUGGGGCGUCUAGCUAAUUCAUCACAAGUUCAUUUUUGACUGCGUUAAUUAUGUCCCUAUAGUUUCACAAUCAGCUGUGGUGUCUCCCAGUCAUUUUCCAGCAUCAUCUGCCCUUGAUUUUGCUUAUGAAACUGGUAACUCAAAGGCGGACCUUGUGCUUUAUAAAUUGCCAGAGACGUAUUAACAUGUGGAUUCCUAGGCAUUGAUUACUGGAAGUAAUACUGAGACUGAAGCUCUUAAAGACAGGUACUCACCUCAUACAGGGAAUGCAAAGUCAGUAGAGGGAGCAAAUUUGGUAUCGGGACCUUUUUUCAAUGCUGAAAACAAGGCGUUCGAUGAAAUGUCACACACAACAGUGAGCUUUGAAAUUGUCCACGAGGGAGAAACUUUGCAACUACAGUGCGACGAUAGCUUCUGUGUAGAUGUCAGCUUGAAUACAAAGGUGCCUACUGCGAUGUUAGAUGAUAUGAAAGAAUCUAAUACUGAGGAGGAGGACAACCCACGAGAUAAUCUAGCUUUGUUUGACAAAAGUCCUAAAUGGGAUACAUCGGGUUUUUCUGGUUCCUUUUUCUAGCCAAGGUACUGUAAUGUUGAAUGUGAGUAUGCAAAUUGCUGUAAUCGAAUAUCCAUUCAUGGUGUCUAAUGGGAUCACACUAUUCCUUGUUUGCAUAAUUCUCUUGAAGAAAUGUGUGGGGGUAAACAAACUAGAGUGCCGCCUUACCUUGUCUUUAGCUUACACAAAUGCAAUUGGGUUGAUACUGGGCAGGAGUGCAAUCUUCCUUGUUUCUUGUCGUCUAACUCGAGAGGGUGUGGUAGUGAGAAGAAAAUGGAGGAAGUACUCCAGGUAAAUUGUUGUAAGUUCCUCCAAGCAGUCACCAUAUACUUGAGCUGUUAAGCUCUUGUUUGCUAUGUUUGUUCUAGUCCAUAAAGCAAGGGUGACUUCGUCGUAUAUUGUCUGUGAUCCUGGUCCUUAUCUUGAUUAUGUCACGAUCUAUGCAAUAGACUCUACUUUUGGAGAUGGAAAAUCCAUAGAGGGGGGGGGGGGGGGGGUAACAGUACUAUUUGAACUCCCAGGUGUGAAGUUUCUUAUUGGGCAAGUACUCUCUGUGCAAAUUGGUAUCACUUCGGACGUUUGCAAUAAACUUGGCGCUUAUGUUUGCUGUCAUUUGGGACAUGCACAUUUUUCCAUUAGGAAUCUGAUGUCAUACUAUAGAUGGUUCCUUUUGUAGUCCCGUGGACAAUUGGCUCGACACUGUGCAGGAUGAUAUAGGUGGUGCAUUGAUUGCUAAUGAAUCUUUAAAUUGGUUACACUGCAAAGUUGUAUGAUUAGGGGUUUGUCGAUGGAGUUGAAAUUGAUAUUCAAAGUUAUGGUGCUUUCAACACUUCGUUUGCAAGUUACAAACUACAGAGGAUUGAUUUCACCAAAUGUAUUUUUGCUGCCCAACGUUGAAAUGAUGAGGUAUCAUAUUAAAAUCUGUUUGAUCCAUUUGUGAAUCUGGUCAAAGCUAACAGUCUUGUAGAAUAUUAAGUAUCUGUUCAAAGCUAAUAGUCUUGAUGAAAUAUGAUGUUUGUUAUUUAUACAUAUAUAUAUAUAUAUAUAUAAAAAAAAGUAGCAUACAUUUAUAUGAUACAUAGUGACCUGAAUUAGUUACAUCUAUCUAUUUCCGAAUUAACAUAUCUGAUGCAUCCGUUUUCAGCAUACAUAUAUUGUAAUUUCGGUUUUCUUGUAUCUAUUAGUUGGAUUAGUGAAUAGUAGUGGCUGGUAUUUUUUUUGUUCUCCUACCCGGUGUCCAGCCUCACUCCCUGGGCUAUUUGAACUAGACCAUGGACAGCAGAGGAAAAUAGGCAUGGUGAUCUUCUCAACAAAUAUCUUUAUCUUUCGUAAGAGUUGAUAUGAAGCAUAUUGAAAAGACAAUCCAUUACCCAAUUGGUUCUGGGAUGGUAAGAUUUUUACCAGACCUUAUGUUAUCAUGUAGGUUUGCUGAGGUUUAUAAUAAAUAGUGCAGCUUUUAGCAAGUGUUAUCUGUCUCUGUCCAUCUGCAUUUGGCUCCAAUAAACGUUGGUUACAUUUCUUUGAGUUAUUUGUACCAGUAACUGGUUUAUGAAUGAGUGCUCUUGGAAUAUCCCAUGACUAAGUGACCAUUUCCUAGUUCCAAAAAGCUCAGGCUAGUGCAAAUAUAGCAGAAUAAGCUAUGUAUAAUAGACCCUUCCCCGGAUUAGCACAUACAAAAGGUUCAUCUUUAUUGCUAAUAACUAUGCUUUUUCCUAUGGCCUAAACACAAUUGCAAAAUUUUAUACAAAUCUAGUGAAGUAGGUUUAAACUCCACUGCACAGAUUUCAAACCAUACCCUCAAAGUUUCUUAAUACAAAUCUAUGGAAAAUUUAAUGUUCAGAAUUGCCCUCCAACACAAGUGCAUUCAUCUCUUAAUCUCUUUCCUCCAAUUUUCUAAUCCGCGGAGCCAGUCCACAUACAUAAUCUUGUGCUCUGCAUCCUUCACCAGAAAGAUGCAGUAUAAAAAGAAGUCCACUAGCACCGGAAUCUUCCUCAAAAAGAGGCAGCCAGAGUAGUAUGAGUACAAAAUCAUGCGUACUCCAUAGGCAUCAUAGGCCUACCAACCAGAGUUAGUAACAAUAAUGUACAGAGGAUGUUAUUAACUGUGCACUCAGAAAAUGUCCCUGCAGUUCAGUAUAAGAUAGUCAAUAAGAAGCAACGCAAAGCAAAACAAUAAUAAAAAUGCAACGCAAUAUGAUGCAAUGCUAAUGACCCUACUAACAUACACUCCACAGGAAAUGUUGUCAGGUGGGACCCAUGAGGGACUUGUGAGGUCCAUAUACCCUACCUGGACUCGAACCAAGACUUUCGUCAAUAUAGUCUGUCCGAUUCAAUAAAUUUACUUCAAGUCAAGCCCUUAGACCACAUUUCACCACUAUAAACAUAUUGCUUUCAAUAAAAUCUUGACAAAUCAACCCCUCAUAAGUGAAAAUACCCGAGUUGAGUUAGAGAAAAGUAAGCAAUAACCUACCUUGAAAGUCGAGCAACGUGCCACACAUAAAUGCACAUAGACAUAUAUUUAAAGUACUUCUCUUAGUAGCAUCACAGUUCUAUUAUAAGGGAGGAAUUUUAUCCUUGAUAGCAACGCAGGAACUCUUCAUAACUGUUAGGGUACCGAAUCCCAUCAGCUAAAAAUCCUUAUUGUUAUUGUCACCACUCAAUGAUGGUCCCUCCCCCCUACUUAAUUUCACUUCUGGAGGAUCAAUACUGGUGGUGAUGAGGUGAAAGUAGAGAUUAAAAAUGUUUAGGAGGAAAUGAAGAAUAUAUCAGAAAAUAGUUACGAAGAGUUGCUGCGGGUCAUUAGUGCUUUUCUUUCUUUUGAGAAAAUUGAAUAUCAAAAUUUUUGAUUCGGGAUAUGGAAGUAGAUGAAAUUGAAUUGGAAAGAAAGAGAAUAUCAUUGAAAUAGAAAAAUCCUUAUAGGUUCUUGAAUUUUUCAGGGGAUAUGAAACUGGAUAGCAAUCGAAUAUACUAACAUUAAUAGGUUAGAGGGAAAAUAAUGAAAUUGGGAAAUCUUUUUCAUUUCUUGACUUUUUUGAGAUAUGGAGGUAGAGAAAAUUGGAAAUUAAAAGGAAAAGAGGAAGAGGAUGAGAUCUGAAAUUGAGAAAAAGGGAAGAAGAUGAGAUCUGAAAUUGAGAAAAACGGAAAAAGAUGAGGUCUGAAAUUGAGAAGAAAAAAAGAAGAUGAGGUCUGAAAUUGAGAAAAAUGGAAGAAGAUGAGAUCUGAAAUUACGAAAAGAAAAAAUUAAGGGAAAGAGAGAGAUAGGGAAGAUGGGUUACAAUGAAAUUUGUUUUAUAGCCUAGAUCAAGUUAUAAAGGAAAUGAGUUAAACGAUGUGGGACUUAAUUUG